UGCUCACAAAUUAAGUAGCCACACACAGCUAAAUGGAUUGAGCAGGAUGAUGAGGAGGGAUGGGUUCAGGGAAGCAUUGAUUCAUGAAAUCACCCACCACGGGCUUCCUAUUUAAUUGGCUGCCCUUCAGCUCAUCAAGAAGGAAAAUGACUAGCACGUCACUCAUCACUAAGUGACAGCUGAUAUCAAGCAGAUGUUGGCUGGUGUAUUGCCCCUUCGGCAAACAAGGGAUAAUAACCAGGAGCUUGGCUCGUAAUGAGAAAUUAUGCAGAACUUAUAUGCAGGGCAGUCGACGGUUUUCGGUGUGUUAUCUCAAAUGUUUGUUUAUUUAUUAGAGAUAGCCACAGGCCCUUUAAAAAACCAUAUUGUCCUAAAAAGUGGAGAAUGCUUUUACAAAAAUAUAAUCUUAACGGCAUACCUGCCGGGGUCUUAAGACUUCACACCCCAUACUAGUUUUGCGUUCUCUUAAAGAAAGCCCACACUGUUAGGUUGUUAACAAACUUGAUGCAUGACCCCUAUAGCCGUCUGUUUCUUUGGCAUUAUGGGUGGGUUGAGACAAUAGGGGCCACCAAUCUCCUCAAGAACAGAAGAAGUUAGUUGGGACCCCCAAAGCUUGGCCAGAUCCAAGAGAAUGAGUAUUGGAUCUCAUUGUGAUGAUGCAGCGAUCGACAGCACAGUGGCAGAUGAUGGAAGAGUUUUGUCCUGCCUGGUCUUGGUGUGACUCCAUUCCACGUGCUGCCCUCAACUCAACUCAUGGAGGUGGCAACAUUCGUAAAAAGGCCGUAUGGUUUUCGGGAAAACAGUCAAGAUGGUGGCUGCAUCUCACCAUGUGAUGUAUGUCAGAACUUCAGAAGAUCUGCCCCUAAAUGUUCCCUUACCUUAAAUCCUGUGUUUCUGACUCCAGAAAUUAUGGCUCCCAUUCUAUAUUCUGCCUUUGCAUUCUCAUUAUUAUUAAUAAUAAUAAUUAUGUGUCAACAAGUCAGUUCGAACUUAGGGGGUUUUGAGGUAGAGAAGACUCAGAAGUGGUUUCCCAUUCCCUUUUUCUGGGGUGCCCUGGGACUGUGCAGCUUGGCCAAGGCUACCCAGGCUGGCUCUUCUCUCAGGAGGCAUGGUGGGGGGAAUCAAACUCCCAACCUCUGUUUCCACAGCCAGGUAUCUAACUCACUGAGCUAUCAAGCCAGCACUUUCCAGACAGAAACCUCACAUUUCCCCAGAGCUUGGCUGGACUUUGCACUGCAGGGUGGACAUCGAGAAAGCUUCUAAGAUCAAUUUCCAAUGGUUCUGGACUUCUACAGUAUGCUGUCUACUCAAUUUGUCCGGCGCUGAUGGGUGAAAAAUCCAUACCAGUUCAUUUUUGAACUUUCCAAAAUCCUGAGAUGGAAAGAACUUGAGGGUGACAGGUAACAAUUACAGAUGAAUGUUUUUAGCCUCAUGUGUCAGCAAAAGCCAACCAAUCAACCAAACCUGUUGGGGGGGGGGGAGAGAAAAUAUGUCACUGCUGCUGAUAAUCUCAUAAAUCUUCAGAAAAUAGCCGUCAUUGAGUACAUUUGUUGAAAUGGGCCCUUCCUGUCUUGUUUCUUUGACCGCAAAAUAAUAAUAAGAAUUGCAUGCUAUCAAGUUGAUUCCAACUGAAAUAAUAAUAAGAAUUGCAUGCUAUCAAGUCGAUUCCAACUGAUCCAGGGAUGUGCAGGUAGAGAUUACCCAGAAGUGUUUUACCCUUCUCUUCCUCUAGGGGCACUCUUGGACAGUGGAGCUUGCCCAAGGCUACCCAGGCUGGCGUUUCUCCCAGGAGGCUCAAUAAGGGGUCGAACUACCAACCGCAAACCACUGAGUGAUCCAACUGGUAAUGCACAAUUUCCUGAGGACAUCACACUACUAGUUCACGAAGACAUUCAAGCCAUCAACAAAUUCUCAUCAUUCUCUCAUAUCUUCCUGUUGUCACCCUGAAAGAUAGAGAUAAAUAAAGGAUCCAGGUGCGGGUGGGAGGGAAACGUU
ensembl:lncRNA